GACGAACGCUGGCGGCGUGCUUAACACAUGCAAGUCGAACGGUGAAGGGGAGCUUGCUCCCUGGAUCAGUGGCGAACGGGUGAGUAACACGUGGGCAACCUGCCCCAGACUUUGGGAUAACCCCUCGAAAGAGGGGCUAAUACCGAAUACGAACCCUGCAGGCAUCUGCGGGGUUGGAAAGUUCUUCGGUCUGGGAUGGGCCCGCGGCCUAUCAGCUUGUUGGUGAGGUAACGGCUCACCAAGGCGACGACGGGUAGCCGGCCUGGGAGGGCGAUCGGCCACACUGGGACUGAGACACGGCCCAGACUCCUACGGGAGGCAGCAGUGGGGAAUAUUGCGCAAUGGGCGAAAGUCUGACGCAGCAACGCCGCGUGCGGGAUGAAGGCCUUCGGGUUGUAAACCGCUUUCAGCAGGGAAGAAGCGAAAGUGACGGUACCUGCAGAAGAAGCACCGGCUAACUACGUGCCAGCCGCCGCCGUAA
rnacentral:rRNA from 1 species